UGUUCGCCCAUUAAAGCGUUACGCGAGCUGGGUUCAGAACGUCGUGAGACAGUUCGGUCCCUAUCCGUCGUGGGCGUAGGAAAUUUGAGAGGAGCUGUCCUUAGUACGAGAGGACCGGGAUGGACAUACCUCUGGUGUACCAGUUGUCGUGCCAACGGCAUAGCUGGGUAGCUAUGUGUGGACGGGAUAAGUGCUGAAAGCAUCUAAGCAUGAAGCCCCCCUCAAGAUGAGAUUUCCCAACUGCGGUUAUAAGAUCCCUCAAAGAUGAUGAGGUUAAUAGGUUCGAGGUGGAAGCAUGGUGACAUGUGGAGCUGACGAAUACUAAUCGAUCGAAGACUUAAUCAAAA
rnacentral:rRNA from 1 species